UGAAAACUUUGGGCUUGGCAUUAGGAGAGCCUCGGCUGAAAUCCGAGGUUUUGAACGCGAUUUUUUCCGACAGAAGCUGGGCGCUUUCUUUCAUGUAAUGCUGCAGCUGAGCCUGGGACAGGUCUUUGAAAGCUACUCCAGAAGGGUAUUUCUCCACCGCCGGGACCACCAGUUUAUUCCUUUCGGCUAAAUACGUUUUUGGCUGCGGGUGCAAAGGGGAACUGAGGAAGUAGGAGGCCACCGGGUGGAUGUUCACGCCGGCUGCCGGGUGGCAUGGGCCGUCACCUCGGUUCAGGUAGCACAAGGCGCCCAUGGCGUGGAAUGAAGAGUGGUUGACCACACGCGGCCUUACCAGCUUGUACUGCUGCAGCGGCAGCGCGUCGCGGGCCAGGUCGCCCUUGAGACUCAGUGCGCAGUUGAGCAGGUCGCUGCAGCUGAAUGCGGGAGCCGAGGGCACCGCCGCGGGCGCCGCCGGGGCCUCCAGACUGGCCUUCCGCGGCUCGGAGCCCGUCACUCCUGCCUUGGGGCUCGUGUCGUAGGCCACAGGCACGAAGGGGAUCAUGCAGGGGAUCGACGAGUUGAGAUGCAGAGAGUGCUUGGGUUCCCCCUUGGGCAUCACCAGCCGAACCUGCCUGCCCAGCCCAAUGGACUCCUGCCAGCCCAUCGCAGAGUUCUUGGCGCACCAAUGACUCGGGGACAAUCACUACUUAUUUCUAUCAAUAGAAAGUGUUGUGUCAAUAACGCAGCCAAGAUCUCGCCAAUCGUUAACUUCCAAGAGGAGAAGGGGCUCGGGGUUGCCCGCUCCCGGAAUCCCGGAGUCUCCGCGGCCCGAACCGAGUCUGGACCAUUUAGAAGACGCCGGCAGGUAACUGGCCUCCCCAAACGCCCCGAAAAUUAAAAGCCUUAGGAGGCUUGUUCUGUGUUUGUGGUUUUGUAAAGGCAAUGCCCGCGGCAAUAGGCCUGGGAAAGUCGCACUUUCAUCCACAAAGUUGAGGAGUUGCAAGGAAUAAUUGGGUGUCACACCACAAGCAACCUUGACUCGAUCGGACCCCACCCAGGAUACACACAGACGCGCGCGCGCGCACGCUUCCGAGUUUCCAUUGAGAGUCUGGAAAGAGCAUUUCUUUCUUAAGUACCUGCGCUCAGCUAGAGCUCUCCCGGAGCAUUUUAAAUACUGAAUGCCGAGCGGAGAAGGGAAACAGAGUGUAUUAAUCCCCACUCCGGUUGCCGGUGUCUGCAAGCCUCCUCUAAGCAGCGCAGGCGGCAGCCUGGAUGUCUGUGCGCAUCAAGGAGACUUGCCGGCGCCAGAGUUGUGUCCACAGGUGCACUUGUGCCUCCCAAAGAGCGCGCGUAGAGACCAUUUCCCCUGCAACGCCCCCCAGCCGAACACCCGCCGGGUGUGGCACCUCGGCCGAAACUCCUGGGGCGGCGCGGUGGAGCGUGUGGAGGUUUCCGGGAAGACGCCUACGGCUGCGGCUCCGACUGUGCGGGCUCCCGCCGCCCAGGCAAGAGCGUCCAGGAGCGCGCUGGAAGCUGCGGCGCGCACCUUCCCCGGCGCAGUCUCUUGCCAGCCGGCGAUCACGCAGAGCUGAACCCCGCAGCUAGGCGCGCAGGAAGGGCUGCACAGAGUUUGAAGACACGGCAGCUGUAAGCUGGCGUGAGGAGGCCAAAGGAGCGCGCAGAGCUGCAAGCAAAGGGCGGUGGGGCCUGGACCCUGAAGUGAGUGGCCGACCGCAGCAGCUCAAGGUGCCAUCUGCCUGGGCAAGCUACCCGGGUCCCUCCGCCCCACUCUAACUUUCCGCGAAAAUCAGUUCCGCCUCUGCCCCAAGAGCCAAGAGGGGUGGAAAGGAAGAGAGCUUGGGCUGGGAACGCGCCUGAUGUCUAACAGAAAGGCAGUGGCAGCUGGGCGAAAAAUCCCCCUCCUGCUGCACUCCUCCGCCACCGGGCUAGGUUGAAAGGAAAAAGCCAAGAAGCGCGAAGCAGCCCGGCUCUGGAAGGCUUUGGAGAGUCCAGCUGACUUGUACACAAUUCGCGGCCUCUGGAGCCUUACCUGCCUUCUUGACUGAAUGCCACCAGUUCGUUUUACGCUUGUGGGCUUUUUGUUGAAGUCCCUAUCAUAAGCAAAUGCAGUUUCUGGCUAUGGUUACUGCAAUUCGAAAUAAAAGGGCCUGUGAGGUGUGUCCCUCCAGACUGAGAGGCUAUGACUCAGGGUUGGACUUUAUGGAAAAAAAGAAGUUUAUAAAACAAGUAACCCAGUUUCUCCAACCUUUACUGUGGAGCAACAGCGUCAAGCAACAAAACCCAGCAAAGUUUUGCUUGUCACUUACAAGGGUGUUACUGAAAUCUGGAAGGCGAACAAUUAGAAGAUAGCCCAAACAUGCUCUAUUGCUCUACACUGAAAUACUUGCCUCCAAUAAUAGAAAAAACCUGUUUUCGUGCAAUUGAUUGAUUAGCGUUCUGCAGCAGUCCCUGGACAAUUUUAAAGACAUUUUGUGUUUGUGGCCAAAAUUAGAAACAAGCAGACACACACACAAAACAACCAUAUUCAAGACACGGUUCGACUGUUUCCUUGACACUACCCACGAAGUUUAAAGCAUUUUUUAUGUUAUUUUCAAACUUUCUUAAGUGAUCCCAUGAAAUAAAAGUCGAUAAUAGAAAUU
rnacentral:lncRNA from 1 species